CCAAGUCUUUGCGCCAGGCAUGCUCCUUGCAAGGGCUGGCAGUGGACGGGGCGGGCCGUCGGCGGCCUGACUUCACCAUCUCACGCUGCACGUCUUCCCCUCCACCCUCCCGAAUCUCCCAGGAAUCGUCACACUAUCCGAGGAUGCUGGGAAGAAGUAAGGGCAGACCUUUCCCUUAGGAGAAAGCCCUGAAUCCCGUCCGAAUCUAGGGGUCACGGACCCUGGGUCAUCGGCUUUGAUAAGUAAUUCCUGGAAACCUGCUGCAAUGCCCUUUGAGGAGUCUGGUUCUCUGUUUCCUGAAGGGCACUAGCGUCACAAGGCCCCUGAAUGGGGUCACGGAUAGGGGAAAUGACCGGCCUCACGCCUAACCUGCAUUCUGACUCUUCUCGCGUUUUUCUGAGGCUUGGAACCAGGCAGGAGAUUCCAAGUAACUCGAUUCAAAAUGCUGUAGUCAGAGGACUGGCAGAGCAAGACGAAAGUCUCUGGUCCCACCCAUGUGCAGCAGAAGGAAAUGUUGAAAAGACUGCACAGAUAAAUUAUUUAACAUUCCCCCAAAUUGCUGAAAAAAUGGAUCCUUAGGGAGGACGUGCCAAGUUCAUCUGGCAGCCGAGACCUCCGAUCACACUGCUGGCCUGUCCUGUUGUUUUUGCAGGAAGCAGACGAAAACUGCUGACUACAAGCAUGUGGACCCCAGACCUAUUGAAACCAGAUGGUUGAUGAUGCUCGAAACUUCACCUUGACGCCAGCGAAUCGGAGACCUGGGCACAAGCUCAUCAGGCUCCUGCAUCCCCUCCCUCACGUGGCCUUUAAAACCCCUUCCCUGAAAGCCCUCGGGGAGCUGGCAUUCUUUCAUACCUUCUCCCUGGUGCACCAGCUCUCCUUCCAAUAAAAAGCUUUGCUCGCCUAGGA